GUCUUGUGGCAUAGUGGUUUGAGUGUUGGACUAUGGCUCUGGUAACCAGGGUUCAAUUCCCUGCUCAGCCA